rnacentral:tRNA from 1 species
GAAAUAUGUAAAUCAAGAAAAAGCUGCUAACUUUUUUCUUUAGUGGUUUAAAUCCAUUAAUAUUUCU